AUGGCAUCCUCCUCUUCCAUCCUUCUCCUUGCUGCUCUUCUUGCCUUGGUCUCAUGCCAGGCCACUGCCUCCGACCCUAGCCCCCUCCAGGACUUUUGUGUCGCCGACAUGAAUUCACCAGUUCGUGUCAAUGGGUUUGUUUGCAAGAACCCAAUGGAGGUCAACGCUGAUGACUUCUUCAAGGCAGCCGCUCUCGACAAGCCUAGGGUGACCAACAAGGUUGGAUCCAACGUCACCUUGAUCAACGUCAUGCAGAUUGCUGGACUCAACACACUCGGCAUCUCAAUUGCGCGCAUCGACUAUGCUCCCUUGGGUCAGAACCCA
rnacentral:rRNA from 1 species